rnacentral:rRNA from 1 species
UACGAGGGGGGCAAGCGUUGUUCGGAAUUAUUGGGCGUAAAGGGUGCGUAGGCGGUCUGACAAGUCUGAUGUGAAAUCUAUGGGCUCAACCCAUAGUCUGCACUCGGAAACUGUCGGGCUUGAGUUCGGUAGGGGAGACUGGAAUUCCUGGUGUAGCGGUGAAAUGCGCAGAUAUCAGGAGGAACACCGGUGGCGAAGGCGGGUCUCUGGGCCGAUACUGACGCGGAGGAGCGAAAGCGUGGGGAGCGAACAGG